AAAAAUGAACAGAGAGAGGGAAAAAACUGUGAACAUGAUAAUCUGGGACACCUCAAAUCAUUUGCCAGGUCAAGCUGCAGUGGAGGACACAAACAACUUCCUUGGUCACGGGGAGACUGGAGCCUACCUCAGCUACCAAAGGCGAGAGGCAGGAUACACCCUGGACAGGAUUACAGGAUGUUUUACUCUGCUGUGGCGCCACAGCUAUAAAUGCACUAUAUGUUGCAUCGGCGAGUGUGUCGAGGGAUCUCAUCAGCAAAGACGGGGCCUUGGCCCUUUCAAUCAAGCAGACAUGAGCGCAAACCCGACUCUUCCCCUCUGGUGUCAUUUCAACAACCUGGCCCGGUGGGACAAAAGAUGCGACGCUCCCUGUGCUACCCUUUAAGCGGAGGGUCAGGUAAUCAAUCUUUAUACUUCCCCAUCCUUUUCUCCACAUCUCAUACAUCUUUCAGUUGCACUGGGGCCCGUUAUGGUUGUUUCUAAUAAAAGACUUACUCGGGGUCCACUGUCUCUGGCUUCAAACUUAUUUAUCCAGGCUGUGCCAUUCAUUCUGCCCGUGAGGCUCAUGUAUCUUUUAAAUGGAACGUGGUUCUUAUGUGGGCCAGGGAAGGGGGCAGGAGGGAGGUGGUGAAGGGCCCUCAGGUUUUUGUUUCACCGAGAAGCCAUUCAAACAUUGAUUUUCAGUCACACAUGGCGCUUUUUGUGACUGAGGACACCUGAUGCGGUGCAUCAAUGGGGUAAUCAGAGAUAACAGCCAGGUUGAAGAUCCACAGAAAGAAGUUCUGCCUAUUGUCUGACUCCAACAUUAAAAAUACAUCCUCGCAGACAAAUAAUCUGGUGCUUUCUAAACCAGCCGUUACUAGAACUGGAAGUCAAUCCAAUAGAUUUUAAAAAAGAAAAAAAGCACCUGCGAUUCAAGUGCACCUUUUUUUUCCAGCUAUGUGGGGAUGCAAUACCACAUUCAGUUUUCCAUUCAUUACAUUCAAGUCAUGUUGGACACACCAGCAGAGAGUAAUUUUCUGGUGUGAAUCAACAGUGGCAGCUUGUUUUAGGGGUUAGCAGAAAGUCUUGACAUUUCAAGAUAUAUCUCCCACAGGGGCCACGAGAAGCUGUGGGAUUGUGUCAAGAAAGAAUAAACACUGAAA